rnacentral:misc_RNA from 1 species
CUGGUUUUAGAGAGAGGGAGAGAGAAUCCAUAAAUAGAUACAAUCAGAAAUCAUGUAGUACAUGGAGGAUUAAGUUAGCCAUGCAAAAGUACAAGAAGGCAUCAAACUCCUAGAACAAAAUAUCAGAUCAUGUAUAAAAAGACUAGUUGGGACAAAAAGAACCCAACACCACCAACACAUGAUUCCCCAACUCCCCUUAUAAUAUGCUCUUGAUAUAUUAUCAUCUUAUUUCCAUAGUAUGAAGGUAGUAUCAUAGCCAUCAUUCCUUAUCUUAUAGAUGCUGAGUUUUCAUAUUGUGGGGCUAGAGCUAGUAGUAGAGUGAACCUGAAGAAACCAUAUGAUCCAAAUUUAUGAAACUUUCAUAAUUCAUAAAGGAAAAGCAAUCAUAUUAAGAACUAUUUGGCCAACAUACCCUGCCACCAAUUCCCUCUUGAAGCACUGUCUGAAUUAUUGCCAUUAGGAUCAUCAUUUCUAUCAUCUUUCUUGAAAGUAUGGUGAGAUUCAGAGUUCUUGGUUCUUGGAGAAUAAUUUUCUUGGCCACCAUAGUAGAUAGAUGAGCUGAAAUAACAAGGUUCCACUGUUUCAUUUUGAUAAACAUAACUUGAAUCUUUGCUUAUCCCCUUGUUACUUUGAGUGGAAUUAUCUGGAUUCCCAUAUUUGCCAUUUCCAGCUUGAUUUCCAAUAAUUCCUGAAGUAUCCCUCCCCAGCCCCUGUAUUUGGAACAAUAAAAAUAGAAAGGCAGCAAACUUUAUAUUAAUAUGUAACUUUUAAUAAAGACAUCACUUUAGUGGUAUUACAAUUAUUAUAUAAUUAUUUUUUACUAAUUUAAAUUUUAUAUAAAGAUUAAUCAAAAUAAUAAAAAACUUAAUUAGUAAGAAAGAUGCAUGUAAAACUUGUAAAUAGAGAUAAGCACAAUCAUCAAGGUGGUCCAAAUUAAAAAAAAAAAAUAGAGAGAGUAUUCCAAAUUCUAAAUGCAGCUGCCUCCACCAUCAAGAUUCUAGAUGAAUACUAAUUAGUCAACUGCGUAUUCUGGUAACAUUGAUAAAGACCUCAAAACUGACAAGGCAUCCAUGGACUGGAGAUUAAGGAUUAUCCAAUGAAAAGUUUUCAACAGA